rnacentral:rRNA from 1 species
GACGAACGCUGGCGGCGUGCCUAAUACAUGCAAGUCGAACGCAGUGGGGACGGGCGAGUAAAACGUGGGUAACCUCCCAUCAGAGGGGAUAACACUUGGAAACCGGUGCUAAACCGAUACUGAUGGAUGGACCCGCGGUGCAUUAGCUAGUUGGUGGGGUAACGGCUCACCAAGGCCACGAUGCCUAGCCGAUCUGAGAGGAUGAUCGGCCACACUGGUACUGAGACACGGCCCAGACUCCUACGGGAGGCAGCAGUAGGGAAUCUUCGACAAUGGACGAAAGUCUGACCGAGCAAGGCCGCGUGAGGGAAGAAGGUUUUCGGAUCGUAAAACACUUUUGUUAGAGAGGCGGUACCUAACGAGAAAGCAACGGCUAACUACGUGCCAGCAGCCGCGGUAAUUC